AAAUGAAUAGACGGGGACCCGCACAAGCGGUGGAGCAUGUUGUUUAAUUCGAAGCAACGCGAAGAACCUUACCCACACUUGACAUCCCAAGUAUGAUUUCCAGAGAUGGAUUUCUUCAGUUCGGCUGGCUUGGUGACAGGUGCUGCAUGGCUGUCGUCAGCUCGUGUCGUGAGAUGUUGGGUUAAGUCCCGCAACGAGCGCAACCCUUAUUGUUAGUUGCCAUCAUUUAGUUGGGCACUCUAAUGAGACUGCCGGUGUCAAGCCGGAGGAAGGUGGGGACGACGUCAAGUCAUCAUGGCCCUUACGUGUGGGGCUACAAACGUGCUACAAUGGUGGUGACAGUGAGCAGCCAGGCCGCGAGGUCGAGCUAAUCUCUAAAAACCAUCUCAGUUCGGAUUGUUCUCUGCAACUCGAGAGCAUGAAGUUGGAAUCGCUAGUAAUCGCGCAUCAGCAUGUCGCGGUGAAUACGUUCCCGGGUCUUGUACACACCGCCCGU
rnacentral:rRNA from 1 species